UAGGGAAUAUUAGUAAUGGGCGCAAGCCUGAACUAGCAACGCCGCGUGUGCGAAGAAGGCCUUCGGGUUGUAAAGCACUUUUUGAGAGGAUGAGGAAGGACGGUACUCUCAGAAUAGUCUCGGCUAACUACGUGCCAGCAGCCGCGGUAACACGUAGGAGGCGAACGUUAUCCGGAUUUACUGGGCGUAAAGCGCGUGUAGGUGGUUUGGUAAGUAGGGCGUGAAAGCUCCUGGCUCAACUGGGAGAGGCCGUUCUAAACUGCCGAACUAGAGGAUGGUAGAGGGAGGUGGAAUCCCGGGUGUAGCGGUGGAAUGCGCAGAUAUCCGGAGGAACACCAGUGGCGAAAGCGGCCUCCUGGACCAUUCCUGACACUCAGACGCGAAAGCUAGGGUAGCAAACGG
rnacentral:rRNA from 1 species